AAUAAAGUUUUAUUCUUGCUUAGAAUUUAAUUAUUUUAAUUAAUAUACAUGAGUAAUUUAUUUUCAGUAUAAAGUUUUAUUAUUUAAUAUUAUUAUUUAUUUAUUUAUUUAAUUAAAUUAGAAUUAUAUUGUGCCAGCAUUCGCGGUUAUACAAUUUAAUUAAGUUAAUUUUUUAAUGUAAUUAUUUUUUUAUUUGAAAAAUAAUUUAUUUAUUUAGGUGGAAUUUAUAUUUAUUUUUAUUUCUUUUUUUUAUAUUUUAAAAUUUUUUUUAAUAAACUAGGAUUAGAUACCCUACUAUUAAUUUUUUGUUUUUUUUUCUAGAUUAUUAUUAGAAAUGUUCUUUAAAAAUCAAAGAAUUUGGCGGUUAAUAAGGUCUUUUUAGAGGAACAUGUUUUUUAAUUGAUAAUCCACGAUUUUUUGUACCAAUUUUUUUAUUUGUAUAUCUCUAUUGUAAGAAUAUUUUAUUUAAAAAAAUUUUCUUUUUCUAAUUUAGAUUAAUUUUAGGUCAAGGUGCAGUUUUAUUUUGGUUAAAAUGUGUUACUAUAAUUCUAUAUAAUCUUUUUUUCUUUUUGAAUUAUUUAGGAUUUAAUAGUAAAAUUAAUUAAAAAGUUAAUUUUAAUAAAGUUCUAAUUAAUGUACAUAUCGCCCGUCACUCCUUUAUAUAGGAUAAGUCGUAACAAAGUAGAUUUACUGGAAAGUAAAUCUAGAAGUUAAAU
rnacentral:ncRNA from 1 species